UUGAUAAACAUCCGGUUCUUACAAAACACGUUGGUUUGUUCUGAUUUUAUAACCUUGAUUCAAUUUUUAAUAAUUUUACAUCAUAAUGCCGAAAGAAGAAGAGAAAAAGACAGAGCAGAAAUUAAAACCCUGUUGUGCUUGUCCAGAGACGAAAAAAGCUCGUGAUGAAUGCGUCAUUGAAAAAGGAGAAGAAAACUGUAAAUCUUUAAUAGAAGCUCACAAGGAAUGUAUGAGAAAACUGGGAUUUAAAAUUUGACAGUUAUUGUAUACUACACAAUAUGAAUGCAGCAUGUGAUUUGGAAGCCUUUGUAAAUCCUGGAGUGAAAAAGAUGAGUGUAUGCAUGAACCUUUUGUUAGCAAAUCGUGAACAUAUUGUACAAAUGUACAUAGAUUUCAUUGUUAUUUAUAAAGAUCUUUUUUCAUAAAAGAAAAUGAG